UACGAAGGGGGCUAGCGUUGCUCGGAAUCACUGGGCGUAAAGGGUGCGUAGGCGGGUCUUUAAGUCAGGGGGUGAAAUCCUGGAGCUCAACUCCAGAACUGCCUUUGAUACUGAAGAUCUUGAGUUCGGGAGAGGUGAGUGGAACUGCGAGUGUAGAGGUGAAAAUUCGUAGAUAUUCGCAAGAACACCAGUGGCGAAGGCGGCUCACUGGCCCGAUACUGACGCUGAGGCACGAAAGCGUGGGGAAGCAAACAGGG
rnacentral:rRNA from 1 species